rnacentral:rRNA from 1 species
CGCGAAUGGCUCAUUACAACAGCCUUAGUUUAUUGGAUCUUAGAGUCCUACUUGGAUAACUGUGGUAAUUCUAGAGCUAAUACACGCAAUUAAUCCUCAACCUUACGGGCGAGGAGCAUUUAUUAGAACAAAACCAAUCGGCUUCGGCCGUAUCUGGUGAAUCUGAAUAACUACGCUGAUCGCAUGGUCUCGUACCGGCGACAUAUCCUUCAAGUGUCUGCCUUAUCAACUGUCGAUGGUAGUUUACACGCCUACCAUGGUUGUAACGGGUAACGGAGAAUAAGGGUUCGACUCCGGAGAGGGAGCCUGAGAAACGGCUACCACAUCCAAGGAAGGCAGCAGGCGCGCAAAUUACCCACUCUCAGAACGAGGAGGUAGUGACGAAAAAUAACGAGACAGUUCUCUAUGAGGUCUGUCAUCGGAAUGGGUACAAUUUAAACCCUUUAACGAGGAUCUAUUGGAGGGCAAGUCUGGUGCCAGCAGCCGCGGUAAUUCCAGCUCCAAUAGCGUAUAUUAAAGUUGUUGCGGUUGAAAAGCUCGUAGUUGGAUCUGAGACUGUGCACAGGGGUCCCCAAAUGGGUUGCACUUCUGGAGCCGGUCUAAUCUGUUGGUCAAUGUGCGGUGCUCUUUACUGAGUGUCGUAUGUUGCCAGCAAUUUUACUUUGAAAAAAUUAGAGUGCUCAAAGCAGGCGAACGCUCGAAUAUUGGUGCAUGGAAUAAUAGAAUAGGGCCUUGGCUCUAUUUUGUUGGUUUUAGGAGCACGAGGCAAUGAUUAAGAGGAACAGACGGGGGCAUUUGUACUGCGACGUGAGAAGUGAAAUUCUUGGAUCGUCGCAAGACAGACUACUGCGAAAGCAUUUGCCAAGAAUGUUUUCAUUAAUCAAGAACGAAAGUAACGGGUUCGAAGGCGAUCAGAUACCGCCC